UGUUAAAAAUUUCAUACUUUUGUAUUGUUAAAAAAUGGCGUAAUUGACAGAAUAACUAGAUAGUUAUACAUGGUGUGCUAUAUGUACCUCAUGUUACUGCACAUGAUCAAUUUUUAACAGUAAAAAUAGAUAAAUUUUUUAUCA
rfam:Gossypium arboreum cultivar AKA8401 contig_283_3, whole genome shotgun sequence.